rnacentral:lncRNA from 1 species
AUAUAUUUUUAUUUAGGGGAACAUAUUAAUAGAAACAUCUAAUGUCGUAUGAUCCUUCAUUCUCAAAGUGAGCAACAGUCCCAAAGGAACAAAAACUGGUCUGUGGGGGCCCAAAAAACUUAGAUAUUACAGUGCUGUGUGGCCCUUCAAAGAGCCUCAGUACAGGGAUGCCUGGGUGGCUCAGUGGUUCGGCACCUGCCUUUGGCUCGGAUCAUGAUCCUGGGAUCUGGGAUCGAGUCCCGCAUUGGGCUCCCUGCAGGGAGCCUGCUUCUCCUUCUGCCUGUGUCUCUGCCUCUCUCUCUCAGUCUGUGCCUCUCAUGAAUAAAUAAAUAAAUCUUUAAAACAAGACAAAGAACCUCAGUAUAUAAAAAGAUAUACAGUAUAUCUUUGGUAUUAAAUUUUCUUGUGGGAGAGCAAUUAGGAAAAAUAUCUAAGACACCUAACUCUGGGAAAUGAACAAAGGGUAGUGCAAGGGGAGGUGGGAGGGGGGUUGGGGUGACUGGGUGAUGGGCAUUGAGGGGGGCACUUGGCGGGAUGAGCACUGGGUGUUAUGCUAUAUGUUGGCAAAUUGAACUCCAAUAAAAAAUUAAAAAAAAAUAAAGAUAAAAAACCUUUAAAAAAUAUCUAAUAAAGUUCCUUGGAGGGGGGCAAUCAUUUUAAAAAAUUUGAGAAGUAUUGGUGUAUAAUUAAAGUCUUGGUCUAGCCUCUUCCCAUAAGUGGCCUGAAGUGAUCUCUGAAAAUGGCUUACUAUUCACUCGAGCCAGAAAACCUUACAAAAAUCAUGCAAAUCGUCAUGUUCACCUUAAGAACACACAUGAAGGGAUCUCUGGGUGACUCAGCCAUUUAGACCCUGCCUUUGGCCCAGGGUGUGAUCCUGGAGUCCUGGGAUUGAGUCCCACGUCUGGCUCCCUGCAUAGAGCCUGCUUCUCCCUCUGCCAAUGUCUCUGCCUCUCUUUCUGUGUCUCUCAUGAAUAAAUACAUAAAAUCUUAAAAAAAAAGAACACACAUAAAACUAUGCAGGCCAUCAAGGGUAUGCAUAUCUGAAAAGCCACCAAGUAUCUGAAAGAUGUCACUUUGCAGAACCAUCGUGUGCCAUUCUGUUGCUAUAAUAGUAACAGUAGAGUUGGUAGGUACAUCCAGGCCAAACAGUAGGCCAAAAAGAGAGCUGAAUUUUUACUGCAUGUGCUUAAAAAUGCAAAGAGUGAUGCUGAACUUAAGGGUUUAGAUGUGGGUUCUCUGGUCAUUGAGUGCAAUCCAGGUGAACAAAUGACCCAAGAUGCGGUGUAAAACUCACAAGGCUUAUGGUCAGAUUAACCCAUAUGAGCGCUCUCCCUGACAUAGGAAUGAUCUUUACUGAUAAGAGCAUGUUGUUCCUAAAACAGAAGAGGGGUUGCAUAGAAGAAAAAGAUAUCUUGGAAG